rnacentral:rRNA from 1 species
UACAGAGGUCCCAAGCGUUGUUCGGAUUCACUGGGCGUAAAGGGUGCGUAGGUGGUUAGGUAAGUCGGAUGUGAAAUCUUGGAGCUUAACUCCGAAACUGCAUUCGAUACUGCCGUGCUUGAGGACUGGAGAGGAGACUGGAAUUUACGGUGUAGCGGUGAAAUGCGUAGAUAUCGUAAGGAAGACCAGUGGCGAAGGCGGGGUCUCUGGACAGUUCCUGACGCUGAAGCACGAAGGCCAGGGGAGCAAACGGG